ACUUUCUUAGUACAGCAGUAUAGAUGGCUUCCAACCAUCAGACCUAGAAUAAUACUCUAGAGAAAGUA
rnacentral:tRNA from 1 species